rnacentral:rRNA from 1 species
GACGGGGGAUGCAAGUGUUAUCCGGAAUCACUGGGCGUAAAGCGUCUGCAGGUGGUUUCCUAAGUCCACUGUUAAACCUUGAGGCUCAACCUCAAAUCUGCAUUGGAAACUAGGAGACUUGAGUAUAGUAGGGGUAGAGGGAAUUUCCAGUGGAGCGGUGAAAUGCGUAGAUAUUGGAAAGAACACCGAUGGCGAAGGCACUCUACUGGGCUAUUUACUGACACUCAGAGACGAAAGCUAGGGGAGCAAAUGGG